rnacentral:lncRNA from 1 species
GAAAAAAUAAAAUACAAGUACUACAAUCCCAGAACCAAUUGCAACCACCCAACCUAAAACAGAAAGUAAUAAGCCAUUGCCAAAAAUUAUCUUGAGAAAUAAAGACAAAUAGCAUUUUCUUUUUUCUUUUAUUUUUCUUUUGUGGCUUCAGCAACUUCCAUUCACACUGAAGCAGAUUGUUCAUAAACAAAGCAUCAUAAACAUUCAGGGAUUACACUUAUUUAUGCAGGGAAUAACAUUCAGGGAAUAUGAAUGGAUUUAUACUCCCUGUUUUGAGUAACAUUUCAAAGAUCAUGUACCGGAUCUGAGCACUUUUGCAUUUCAGUUUACCUCUAUAAGAAAUGGACUAGUCUAACUCAACCUUAAAAGCUAGUUCAAGCAGGAAGGAUUGCCCAAGUCUUUAUAUUUAUCUCAAUUUAUUUAUCCCAAACUGAUGUUGAACAACACAUCCCCUCAUGUCUAGACAUGAACAUUUAAAGUGUGAAGUUUACAAGAACGAACAUCUGCAAGUGGUCUAACAACAAAUCAAGAGUAGACAUUAAUAUCAUGUAGAGAAAUUAAUUUAGUGAGCCUAACCCAAUCCCAAAAACUAGUCAAAGGGAAGACUGCCCAAGUCUUUAUAUUUAGCACAAUUUCCUUAUCCCAAACCUAUUGGGAACAACAACCUCCAUGCGCUUUAAAUAAAUUUUUUAUUUUUGUCAAAAACAUGAAUGCAUGUUGUUAUAGGUUAUAGGAAGUAAAUUUUGAUAGAUAUAUCAGUUGUUUAAUCUUAGGGAGUGUAUGAUCAUAGACUUGAUUUUCCUUUUUGUUUAGUUACUGACUCUCAUGUAUAAAUAAGUUAAAAAUUUUGUAAUAUUGUAAUAUACAACAACAACAAAUAUUAUCUUUCUACAUGAUAUCAGAGCUUCACCCAUAAAGAUUUAAAAAUUUUUUGGAGACUUAGGACUCUAUUCAUUUGGGUUACCCAUAUAGAGUAACAUUUGGAUCUCACAGCCCCCCUGGGAAGGACGCCGAAGCGCCGGCGAAGCUUCCCUAAAGAGCCGACGGGCGUUCGGCUAGCGAGUGGGCCUCACGCGCCGGCGUGUGAAGGCGCAUCCCUGCUCCGUCGCUGCUCCGGUCACCAUUGACAGAGUCGCCACAACGUCCCCUUGUCAGACAUAGUUUGGCAGGUCCAAUGAGGUAGUCCAACAGUAUGGAAUGAAGACGAGUAAGUGUGAUCACUCAAUGUUUUAUAGAAAUUCUGAUAGUGGAGUAAUUCUGCUUGUAGUAUAUGUGGAUGAUAUCGUUAUCACAGGAAGUGACGUUGCUAGUAUCACAUCCCUAAAAGAAUUUCUUAAAACACAGUUUCAUACAAAGGAUUUGGGCUCCUUGAAAUAUUUCUUGAGAAUCGAAGUUAUGCGGUAUAAGAAAGGCAUCUUCUUAUCUUAAAGAAAAUAUGUCCUUGAUUUAUUGGCAGAAACAGGAAAAUUGGGUGCUAAGCCUUGUAGUGCUCCAAUGUCCCCUAACCUUCAACUUACCACAAAAGACAUUGAGUCAUUUGCAAAUCCUGAAAGGUACAGAAAAUUAGUUGGCAAGCUGAAUUCUUUGUUACCUUAAAGGGCCCCAGGGUAAGGUCUAUUCUAUAGUAACCAUGGGCACUCAAAUAUUAAAUGUUUUUCUGAUGCUAAUUAGGCAGGUUCGAAGGUUGAUAGGAAGUCAACUACUGGAUAUUGUAUUUUUGUGGGAGGUAACCUGGUCUCAUGGAAAAGUAAGAAGUAAAAUGUGGUCUCCCGUUCUAGUGCCGAAUCCGAAUAUCGAGCCAUGGCACAAGCCGUUUGUGAAGUCUUGUGAGUACGUCAACUAUUGGAAGAAGUUGGCUUCACAAAUUCGGUGCCUGCUAAGUUGUGGUGUGAUAAUCAAGCAACUAUCCACAUUGCCUCCAAUCCAGUAUUUCAUGAUAGGACUAAACACAUUGAGAUUGAUUGUCAUUUUGUUCGUGAGAAGGUCCAACAAAAGAUAAUAUCAACAGGAUAUAUCCAAAUUGGAGAAACAACUAGAAAAUAUCUUCACUAAAGCUCUAAAUGGGACUUGAGUAGAUUAUAUAUGUAAUAAGUUGGGCAUAAUUAACAUCUAUACUCCAACUUGAGGGAGAGUGUUAUAGGUUAUAGGAAGUAAAUAUUGAUAGAUGUGUCAGUUGCUUAAUCUUAGAGAUUGUAUGAUCAUAGACUUGAUUUUCCUUCCUGUUUAGAUACAGUCUUUCAUGUAUAAAUAGGUUGUAAUCUCUAUUGUAAUAUACAACAACAAAUAUUAUCUUUCUAUACAUGUUAACCAAACAGUCCAAAACUGAGCAAAUAAAACACAGCAAACUGAGUGACAAAACUCAUACACACAGAGUCAGACACAUCUCUAAAUAAUACUGAUGAACACAUUGAGUCAUGGACACAAGUCUCCGGACAAAUAUCAGCAUACACAUCUAACUGCAACUAAAUCAAGACAAAGAUAAGGUAGCUGCGCCUUAAAUAAAUUUUGUGCGAAGAAGAAUAUAAUUGAGAAGCACUUUUUUUUUGUUGCAAUAUCCAAAGCUUAUACAUAUACCACCAAUAAGCGAACCUGAUAAUUCAUGUCAACUGUCAAGUGAUUUCUAGGAUAUCUUCCUUGCAACCAGGGGUGACCAGUAUUCAGUUCAAACCGAAAAAAUCGACCGAACCGAAUUAAUUUGAAAAUUCAGUUCGGUUUUUUAUUUAUUUCGGUUUAGUUUAAUUUUUAAUUUUAAAAUUUUCGAUUAUUUCAGUUCGGUUCGGUUUUGAUCUGAAAAAAUUGAAAAAACCAAACCGAACCGAUUAGUGAUAAUAAUAUAUUAUUUUCAAUAAUUUAGAGAGAUUAGAUCAUAUUAAGGUUAAAAUAGUUCAAUUAAAUUUUAAAAUACUAAAAAUAAAGUAUAAAAAAUAAAAAAUUUAUUAAAAAUUUAAACCUAUCAAACCCAACCGAAUCGAACCGGUUCGGUUCGAUUCGGUUUCUGACCAAAAUCGAUUCGGUUUUUAUAAAUAUUAAAAUUUUGGUUUUUGAUUUAUUCGGUUCGGAUCGGUUUUGAACCGAACCGACCGAAUGCUCACCCCUACACCAUCCACCCACAAAAAAUAAGAAGAGAACAGGUCAACACAAUUAUUUUCUCCAAGCCAUGGCUUCUGUUUCUUUAGUAUCAUCCAAACUCCAAAGCUUAUCCAAAAACAGGCACAUAAAGGCAAACUCCAUAACUCACCCCAGUGAUUUCUAGGGCAUCAACCUCCAGUACCAUUCACCCACCACAAAUAAGAAGAAAACAAUCCAACACCAUUUUUUUAUAACCAAAAUCAUCAUCUGUGAGUACUAUGAAUAAGCUUAAGUUUAACUUUUUAAUUUCAUUGCCAUGCAACGGGAUGCAAUAAGGGCUUGGUGUCAUUAUGUUAAUAAAGAGUGGGUCGGAGGAAUUUUAACGAGGUCCACCACAUAAACUAGACUUCCUAGUAUCAUAUUUAUUCAGAUAUAAAAAGUUAUAAGAAUGUAUGAUAAAGCUUUUAUCUUAUCAUUAGCAACGCAUCAAAAACCAGCGUCAAAAAAUUGCAUGAUACUUUCAAAUAUCAUGUUACUAAGUAGAAGGCUAAAGAAUAGUUCAUCGCAUAACCCAAUUUAUGUUGUUAGUUAAUCAUUUUCUCAAAAAACCUCACUUUAAACCUACUCUGCAAUACUGAGCAAAAGAUAGGAUUAAUAAUUUAGGAGGUUAAUGUGGUCUAAAAACAAAAGCUCCUAAUCUGAUGCCAUGUUAAACAAUCACCUAAAUCCAAACGUAUAAGUUGCCAAAUUGCAGGAACAUUACUUAUUAUUCAUGAUAUUCAUACACACUGCAUAUAACAAUUUUCCAUAUCACUUUCAUCCAUAAAAAUACUCCAGUGAUUUUUUAACCGCAUGCACAUGAUGAAACUUGUACUAUAGAACAAAACAACUCAUGCUUUGCUCUCAAACAAGUAGGAAGAGAAGAUUUCCACCAUCUGACAUCAUAUGCAAAACCUCAGUGACUAUCCCAAGAAAGGUCACCUAAAUUUGUCACAUAUCUAUACCUAUUUUCGCAGUGUCAAAGCAAGAAUCAAAAUCUUCAUAUUGUGAAUCUGGAAUCAAAACUGAAUCAUAAGAUUCUAUAAAAGUUCUCAAAAG